CAAAUGACAAAUGUAACACAGACUGGGUGGCUUAAAUAACAAACAUUUCUCACAGUUCUGGAAGCUAGGAAGUCUGAGAUCAAUGUGCUGGCAAUUUCUGUUUCUGUUUCUUUUCCUGGUUUGCAGACAACCCUCUACUCAUGUGCUCACAUGCUGGAGAGCAGAGAAGUUCUCUCUUAAGGACACUAAUCUCAUCACAAGGGAUCUACCCUCAUGACCUAGUCACCUUCCAAUACCAUCUUAAUAGCAUCACAAUCACCUCUGAAUAUCAUCACAUUGGGAGUUAGGAUUUCAACAUGUGAAUCUAAGGGACACAGACAUUCAGUCUGUAGCAGCAUCCUGCCAUAGUGAAGGCCUGAGGUAGAAGCUGGCUGCCCUUGUGUCUUGCCCAAAAGGGGCCAAGUUGGGCCAGUCUUUUUGUUAUUCAUAUCAGGUCCCAGGGAAGCCUUUACGACAUUUCACUGGUGAGCUGGUAGCCAAGCCCUUAUUCUUGGAGAGUCCAUGCCCUUUGAGAGGGUGAGGAAGAAGAGGAGACAAGCAGAGAGCAGUGCCUCCUAGGGAAUCAGUCCACAGAUAACCUGAGGGCAGGACAGGAACCUGGAGGUUUAUUCAAGGAUGGAGUCACAGAGAUGAAGACACCUGGACUCAGGAUUUGGAGAACAGCCAGAGCAUGCAGAUAGUUCUCGGUAAGACGUCAGCCUUUCUGCCCAUCACCUGGGACAUCUCAGUGAAGGCAACCCGCCUCUGACCUUUGGACUCCCUGCCUUCACUCUGGGGCUCCCUGCCAGAUACUCCUGCCACAUCUUUCUCUCACAGUCCUUUCACAACUCAUUGUUGACAAACACUCAUGAACCAUCUGC
rnacentral:lncRNA from 1 species